rnacentral:misc_RNA from 1 species
UUUCCGUAGGUGAACCUGCGGAAGGAUCAUUAAAAGUAAUCAGUACUCUGUACUAAUUAUAAACCCAUCUGUGUAUCUUACCUGUUGCUUCCGUGGGGUGCGGUGGCUCCGGCCGCCGCUUGACCCACGGGAGGUCUACACCAAACCAUUGCAUUGCCAUGAUCUCAGUCUGAAAUGAAGACAACAAAAGUUAAAACUUUCAACAACGGAUCUCUUGGUUCUC